GUUCCGUACGCGAGUGUUAACAACAAACAUGGCGUCUUCAAUGUCACUGCUCGGUUUGGGACGUUUAACUUCGAUCAAUUUAGCUUCCAAAAUACUCCUGAGUAACGUCAGGUUUGCAAGUACAUCAGCAAGGAAGCUGGCAGA